rnacentral:rRNA from 1 species
UACGUAGGAGGCAAGCGUUGUCCGGAAUUACUGGGCGUAAAGCGCGUGUAGGUGGUGGGACAAGUCUGCUGUGAAAGCGCCUGGCUUAACCGGGCGAGGUCGGCGGAAACUGUCCGACUCGAGGACGGUAGAGGGGGGUGGAAUUCCGGGUGGAGUGGUGAAAUGCGUAGAGAUCCGGAGGAACACCAAAGGCGAAGGCAGUGUCCUGGGGAGUACCUGACGCUCAGGUGCGAAAGCCAGGGGAGCGAACGGG